rnacentral:rRNA from 1 species
CCCUUAGAUGUUCUGGGCCGCACACGCGCUACACUGAAGGAGGCAGCGUGUACUCCUGGAUCGAAAGAUUUGGGUAACCCGCGAAUCUCCUUCGUGCUAGGGAUUGAGGUUUGCAAUUAUCCUUCAUGAACGAGGAAUUCCCAGUAAGUGCAAGUCAUAAGCUUGCGCUGACUACGUCCCUGCCCUUUGUACACACCACCCGUCGCUACUACCGAUUGAAUGAUUUAGUGAGGACUUCGGACUGGGACCGAUGCGGCUUUCGGGCUGCGUCGGUAUUCUGGAAAGAUGUCCAAACUGUAUCAUUUAGAGGAAGUAAAANUCGUAACA